rnacentral:rRNA from 1 species
GACGAACGCUGGCGGCGUGCUUAACACAUGCAAGUCGAACGGAAAGGCUCCAGCUUGCUGGGGUACUCGAGUGGCGAACGGGUGAGUAACACGUGGGUAAUCUGCCCUGCACUCUGGGAUAAGCCUGGGAAACUGGGUCUAAUACUGGAUAUGACCUUUCUCCUUAUGGGGUUUGGUGGAAAGUUUUUCGGUGUAGGGUGAGCCCGCGGCCUAUCAGCUUGUUGGUGGGGUGAUGGCCUACCAAGGCGACGACGGGUAGCCGGCCUGAGAGGGUGAUCGGCCACAUUGGGACUGAGAUACGGCCCAGACUCCUACGGGAGGCGGCAGUGGGGAAUAUUGCACAAUGGGCGGAAGCCUGAUGCAGCGACGCCGCGUGAGGGAUGACGGCCUUCGGGUUGUAAACCUCUUUCAGCAGGGACGAAGCGUAAGUGACGGUACCUGCAGAAGAAGCACCGGCUAACUAUGUG